rnacentral:lncRNA from 1 species
CUUGAGAGAAAAUUUUCUAAAUCUCUUUACUCUUUUUGUUUGCAGCCUAGGUUGGAGAUCUCAGUUCACUGACCUAUAGGGUCCUCCGGUAGUUUAAAGAAACGCCCUGCUUACCAUUAAGGCAUAGCGAGAGUCAGGAAGAAUGAAGAUCCAAUAUAAAGAAGAGGCAUGGUUAUCUCUGACUGGAGCCAGUGGGAGAGGUUCGACGUACUGCGUGGAUUUGACAAGAUGCAGCAUCAUUGUCUACGUGCGGAAGCACAGUGUCUGGGCUGCACCAGCCGUGGCCUGGCUGGAUAGAGCCCUGGCACUUGGAGGGACUUCUCACACCCCAGGGCCUAGGCCUACAGUGUAGUGUAUACAUUUUCUUUUAAUACUGCUUCUUGGUAAUGUGGUAGUCUCAGGAAAACAGAGACAUCUGUAGAUUGUGGGUACAGUAAGGAUGCCUGUGGAUUGUGCCUUUUCCUUUUCUGGAAUGCUAUGAACUUAGGAGCGUCUAUAUUAAGAAGAGCUAGUGUAUUACCUGAACACCCCUAUGGUAAGUCCAGCUUCACUCCAAAAGAUGGGAAGCGUGACGGGUAAUGUUCACAUGACGUUUCAACAUACUAGGUUUGGACUAGCCAAGAGAGCCUGCCACCUAUGAGUUUCCUUCCAUUUCAACUGUUUAAAAAUAAAAUUUCAGACAUUCUUUCAUUUUAUUAAUGAAAUGCUGUGCUUCAAACUGAGGGGCCUGUCUGCCAGGUGGAGCUAUAAUUAUGCCUGGGCAGUCUGCAGCUGUGCUUAGUUAUAGAGUUUUAACUAAAGAAAAUAGAAUGUGAGUUGCUUUUAUGCAUCUCAUAAUAUUUCC